rnacentral:rRNA from 2 species
AAAUUGAAGAGUUUGAUCAUGGCUCAGAUUGAACGCUGGCGGCAGGCCUAACACAUGCAAGUCGAACGGUAACAGGAAGCAGCUUGCUGCUUCGCUGACGAGUGGCGGACGGGUGAGUAAUGUCUGGGAAACUGCCUGAUGGAGGGGGAUAACUACUGGAAACGGUAGCUAAUACCGCAUAAUGUCGCAAGACCAAAGAGGGGGACCUUCGGGCCUCUUGCCAUCGGAUGUGCCCAGAUGGGAUUAGCUUGUUGGUGGGGUAACGGCUCACCAAGGCGACGAUCCCUAGCUGGUCUGAGAGGAUGACCAGCCACA